GUGGGGGUGCCCUAGUCCGGUAGGGGGGUGGCCUGCUAAGCCACUGGGCCGAUGAGGCCCGCGCGGGUUCAAAUCCCGCCCCCCACG
rnacentral:tRNA from 1 species